GGUUGGUUGGUUGGUUGUGGGAUGGGGCCCUGUAGAGCUUCCUGAUUGGCAGAUGCCUCCCUGAAUGGACGGUGGUCAGUGAUUGGCCACGUUGCGAAGGGGGGAAACCCAUUUAGAAACGCCGCAUCAUGAGCGUACAAUCAUCCCCCUGGAAAUUAAACCACGCUUUGCAUGCUUUCUUUUUUUUUACAGCAGGAUGCUCCGGGUUUGUUUUCCUCCUGGGCUGUUUCAGUGUUUCACGCCACUACAGACGACAUAACAGAAGGGAUGCACAAGAAAAGACUCUCUAAAUAUACAUGUUUUUCUCCUCUAAAGUAUGGCUUUGAUGUCAUUUCUAGGCUGUAAAGCUGCGCCCAAAUAUCCGCCGUUGGCAUACCGCACCGAUUACUUUUCGCUACCGAGUACAUUAUAUUCUUGUCAAGCAUAAUAAGAAGUGGAUGUAGAUAAACAUAUACAGGCAGGGGGUGGAUAUUAAGUUCGCAAGCAUGGAUUUAGGGAGACAUUGUACAGACGCUCGUGUGUAUAAAUGGUAUGUACAAAAGAAACCCUGGCCGCUCUGGUCUGUCGUGACGUCAAAGGGGGUUUUAAGGAGGAUGUCGGGACUAGUUGUACACAGAUUUUCUCCAUUCAUGAUCACAGCAGUGAGACGAGCUUUUCUUACCCCAUUCACACGACAAUGCGUUUGCCGAAAACCAUCUUUCGGUCGCCCUCGGGGAAGGGAAGUAAAACGAGGUCGCGCUAACAAAGCAGAGCAAGAACGCACCAUCGACUUAAAAGAAACAGAUAUCAAGUCUAGAGUCCCGAUUACUGUAAUGUGAUGCAGGCGGUAACAAAAGGGUUGAUCUGAAAUAAGCAGUGUGGAAUAAACAAUAAUGAUGGGUUAUGAUCUGCACAACAUGCUGACGUUGCAGCAGUAAACUGCGGCCGCGUUCGCAAAGUGCAUCAAAUGGCUUAUUGACCGUUCGAAAGGUAUGCAGUCGGAUCAGUACAUAAGAGGUUGAGAUACUGCGAAGAAUAAAGUGAAAUGCAGCGUUAACAGAAGUCAAGUCGGCACAUGGAGAGAAGAAUCGACUGAUGUCUAAAGGUCGAAUUAAUAUCGAACUCUUUCUCUAAGGUUUAGAAGCGAGGCCUCUGAUCUUCUGCCCUCUAAACCAGGAGAAAAAAGCCAAAUGUUGUUGGAUGCCACAGGGAGCGAAGCCUCAACCCCGCCAGAAUAAAAGCUUUCAGUCGCAGGGUCACCUCUCUUACCAAGCCCGCCUCAAAUCCACACGGCUUAUCACGAGUCCCAUUUCACAUUGAAACGACCGGCUUGCAGUGACUUUUUCUUUGAGUUGUGUCCGUUGCCGGGCAACAAUAACCUCCUUCAGAUUCUGACAGGUAGUUAUUUCCAGCCUCCAGACACAAGACUCGAGUUUUUAAUUACACGGAUCCGAGCAGGUCCCUCUCCGGCGAAACACAAAAUCUCCAAAGAUGGGACGCGUUUGACGUCCAGUGUGACGCAAACGCAGAUGUUUCAACGCUUUCUAAUAACGGAGCGGCCUGAUCUUUGGUUGGUCCAUUGUUAUGCUGUGAAACUCCUGAAAACUUUCAAAAUAAAGCUCAGAAAAGAAACAGAUAAAAUCGCAUAAUGGAGAUCUUAAAAAGGAGUUUGGGUAACACUUUACAAUAACCAUCAUUUAUAGAUAGUUAUUGAUGUUUAAUCAUCAUUUAAAAACAGCAUAAAGACCAAAUAUAAACAGCAAAUAGUUUAUUAAUGUAAGUAUAUUAGUUACUUUACCAUUAACAAGCAAUGAAAUUAUGAUUUAUAAUUUCAUUAAUUAUUAAUGGACGAUUUAUUAAAGGUUUAAAUAUUGGUUGUAAAACAUCUAGAUUGAAAUGUGUGUCAGUAGCACUUUGUAAAUGGUAAAUAUUUGUUUUUUAAACCAUCUAUAAACAUUAUUUAGAUGGUCAUUGUAAAGGUAGAAUUAUGGUUCCUUUUUUAAAAUUGUAAAAUUUAAAGUUUUUAGGUUUUUAAAAUUUAUUAAUCGUCUAUAUGCUGUUUAUAAAUGAUGAUUAAACCUUAAUAAACAUUUAUAAAUGGUCUAAUUACCAUUGAUAAGUUAUGGUUGUUGUAAAGUGUUAAUGGAGUUUAAAAUGUUUGAACCAGUUUUCACUUUUAAGCAUUUUAAGGACACGUUUAUUGUUCGUCCUUCUACCCAUGUCGUAAUUUGACGACAUUUUUUAAAGUUCGGGGAAUCCCGCCCGAUCAAUUCAUCUGUUUGAGCUUUUAGAAACUGAUCAAACGUUCCAGGAGCACCACAACUUCAGAUCACAAUGACGCAAAAGUUGUACAAAUUAGUUAAAACUCUAAACAUAUGUGGCGUUACAAUCAAUUACAACCUCGUCCACUGUUGCCAGAUUUGUAAUCAACUUUUGUCAAAAUCCGGUCAAAGAAGAGAAAGAAAGUUUGAUAUCAAACUCAGGUGACGUCUUAAAUAAAUCUCGUCCACGCUGUGAAGGACGGAGGAAACAGACUGGGACAGAAAAGAGCGAGCAGGCAGGAUGGUGGGUAGGCGGCAAGGCGGCUGGCUUGUGCUGGUUGCGCUUUUUUGCAGCCCGUCCUUGAAAUAGAAAAGAGGUUACAUUCCAAUAAUAAUUCUAGUAAUUAGUCAGAGUAUUAUUAAAGCGAUGGAGAGUACGUCUGGCUUUAUGGGAGCGGUUCAGUGUGCUACAUACAUCGAGUAAGAGUGGGGGGAGGGGGCGGAUGAAGCAGAAGAGAGUGUGUGUUAACUGUUGUCCCAAAAUAUGUACAAUUUGAGUUUAUUGUCGGCGUUUAUUUCUCCGGUGUGCUUCUUUUUCGCAGCACCUUCUGCAUUUCCUUUUUUUUCCCCCUUUCCUGUCUCCGCCCGGCAGCUGCAGCGUCUCUCUGCCUCGUCCGCCUGAUCUAAAGGUGACAGGGCUCGGGUUCACGGCUGGCAUCUGCUCAGAAUCAUUAUCAAGUGUUUAUUUAAGGCUGCGGAGGUUCGAGUUACCUACCGGGGGCCACCGCGCAACCCGACACCGAGCGCGGUCGAGAGUCCUCGGCCGUGGACAGACGCUGUGUAAAUGCCGUAAACGCGACUUAAGGCGGAGGAGCAAUAUGACACCGGAGUUCAAACUAUUCUUGGUCGUGUAAAGAUGGAAGAAAGGUGGUGAGGCCACGAGAGGAGGCAUGAUAACAAUGUGCAGUGUUCGGUUUCUGGUUUGCUCUGUCCUCUUACGACUUUGUGUUGUUAUAGCUGGAAUUUAAAACCGCCUAUUGAAGCUUUUAACCACAUAUAUAUGUCGUUACUGUUUGGUGUUUUGUUGGAGAAAGCUGCUCGAUUACUUCCUCUAUUACAAUCAAACUCCAUCAGCUGAGGAAGAGCCAUGAAAACUUAUAACUUGAGUCGAAACAUUUUGUCCUUUGAAAGCAGCAAAAACAAAAAAUAUUAAGAAUUGGGUUCAAAAAGAGGCUAAAGUGUUCCCUAAAUGCAUUUUUAAAGAUUAAACUUUCAACAACAGGGCUGGUAGAAAUAAAAAAAAAUAAAAUCCCGAAUUCAAUCUAUGGGUUGUACAGUUUUUAGCAAGCUAGCUAACCUAAAAGCAAAAAAAAUGAAGGUUACAAACUUAGAAACAGAAAACUGAUAACAAAAUGAAGAAUAGGUUUUAAAUGUAACGUAAAAAUUCUCGUCUCUACUUUUGGGGUUUUAACAAAAAAUAUAGCAGCAUUAGCCUCAGGUAUGAAAAUACGAUUCAGGAUAGAGGCCGAACUCCUAUCACAGUACAAACGACACAAAUGUCUCUAGAAUAGCAGAGCUAAAUGACGUGUUUGUUAAAUUUAAGAGAACACUUUUAAUAUCAUUAUAAGCUAGGAAGGUAGAAUGCUAGCCAAAGGCAAUUGUACGCUAGCAAUGUUAUUAUGCUAACUAAAUAGCCUCGAGAACCAGACAAACAAACCAAUUUUUAAAAAAGUUUAAACCUUGCCGAACUAUUUAUCCGGAAAAAUAAACAAGAAUUAGCCAACUGGUUGAAAGCACAACAAAAAAAUGAGGUUACGUAGCCUUUGUAGCUUUUGGGGUUUUACCCAUAAAAUGUAGCAGCAUUAGCCUCAAGUAUGAAAAUACGAUCCAAGAUAGAGGCCAAAUAGCAGCGCUGAAUGACGUAUUUGUCGAAUUUAAGUGAACAUUUGUAACAUCAUUAUUAGCUACAAGUGCAAUGCUAGCCAAAGGCAAUUGUACGCUAGCAAUGUUAUUAUGCUAACUAAAUUAGCCUAAAGCUAAUUUAGUUAGUUAACAAGUAUCUUUAAAAGAGCAGAGGCAAAUGAGUGUUUUUGGACUUUACGUGAACUUUUUUAACAUCAUUAUUAGCUAAGAAGAGCGAACGCUAGCCAAAGGCAGUUGUUCGUUAUCAACGUUAUUAUGCUAACUAAAUUAGCCUAAAGCCUAGAAAAGACAGUCCAAACCAGACCAAGAAAUACCCAAUUAAAAAAAGUUAAAACUCUGCCGAACUUUUCGCUCCCACCAAUAAUCAAGAAUCAGCCGCCCGGUUGAAACUACGA